GACGGGGCCCGCACAAGCGGUGGAGCAUGUGGUUUAAUUCGAUGCAACGCGAAGAACCUUACCUGGGCUUGACAUCCCAAGAAUCCCCUGGAAACAGGGGAGUGCCCUUCGGGGAGCUUGGAGACAGGUGCUGCAUGGCUGUCGUCAGCUCGUGUCGUGAGAUGUUGGGUUAAGUCCCGCAACGAGCGCAACCCUUGCCUUUAGUUGCCAUCAUUCAGUUGGGCACUCUAGAGGGACUGCCGGUGUCAAACCGGAGGAAGGUGGGGAUGACGUCAAGUCCUCAUGGCCUUUAUGCCCAGGGCUACACACGUGCUACAAUGGUUGGUACAACGAGUUGCGAGUCGGUGACGGCGAGCUAAUCUCUUAAAGCCAAUCUCAGUUCGGAUUGUAGGCUGCAACUCGCCUACAUGAAGUCGGAAUCGCUAGUAAUCGCGGAUCAGCACGCCGCGGUGAAUACGUUCCCGGGCCUU
rnacentral:rRNA from 1 species